CUCCCCCACCAACCUCAGUGGUUCAGUGGUGUCUGCAAAAUGCAUCCAUCCUGCCAUCUGAGUAGCAGAACUGUAAGAGAAAGCAACAUUCACCUUUGUGUCACAGAUCAAAUGGUAACCCACUGAAGACCACCCCAUUACCUUGUGCUAGAACAGAACUGCCUCUGCCAUCUCUCUUUAACAGAAGCACAUCCUGAGAAUCUGAGAGCUCAAGGUAAGUGGCUGAACACUGUCAACACAUACAGACAUCUAACUGUCUCCUUACUGUACAGCCAUAGCAAGAAACAAAUGCAUGCAGUGCUGUCAAGGUAGAAGACACCACUGUUUACUACCCCAGUCCCAAAUAUCUGUGUACGUUAGCACAGCCUACCUAGCUCUUCUGUCAUUGUCUUUUUAAGUAAACAUUAUACAUUUGAACUGAA
rnacentral:antisense_RNA from 1 species